GCAGAGAAUGACUACAAUCCUAGCUACUGGGGAUGUUGAGGCUAGUGGAUUUCUUGAGCUUGGACUUCUGAGUUGCAGUGAGUUAAGCUGAUAGGAAAUUUGCAUUAAGUUUAGCAUUAAUGUGGAGAACCCCUGGGAGCUGGGGGACACCAGUUUGCCUAAGGAGGGAAGAACCAGCUGAGGUCAGAAAUGGAGUAGGUCAAAGAUUCUCAGCAAAUCACUACUGAGUUCUGUCCAUAAGUAGCUUCUGCACUUCCAUCCUUGGUGAGAUCAGGAGAUCUAGUCUUU
rnacentral:SRP_RNA from 1 species